rnacentral:misc_RNA from 1 species
AUUCCUUUUGUCUGAAAUUACCAUGUACAACUCAGUCCUUUUUGCGGUAUUCUUGCAUAAAAUCAAAUAAUUAUGUGUUUGGUUGACAAGAAUAGUGUGCUACAUGUAUAUUAUGCUCAAAUCCUGAAGGGGGUCUUAUCCAACCAAGCAUUCAGUGGAACAAAAAUAUUUUUACUUCAUUCAAAAGAUGCAAUUUUCAAAGGUUCUGUUAAAAUGUAAAUGUAGUUGGUGAUUGGUACAUAUUAGGUAACCUGAAGGACUGUUUAAGCUGUUAAAAUGUUCAAAGUUGUCAUGAUUAUAUUUUUCAUAAUAGCACUAAUAGUUACUAUGUUGUAGAUUCUGUUGUUUUUGUAAGCAAAAAUAAACUGUAUUAACAAAAUU